rnacentral:tRNA from 1 species
GCCUCCGUAGCUCAGGGGAUAGAGCGUUGGUUUCCGGUACCAGAGGUCGCACGUUCGAUUCGUGUCGGGGGCA